GUCUUUUUGAAAUUAAUUUAAAGUCUAAUCUGCCCACUGAUAAAUAUUAAAGGGCUGCAGUAUAUUGACUGUACAAAGGUAGCAUAAUCAUUAGUUUUUUAAUUGAAAACUUGUAUGAAAGAUUUGAUGAAAUAAUAACUGUCUCUAAAUUAAAAAUAUAAUUUUAUUUUUUAGUAAAAAAGCUAAAAUAAAUUUAAAAGACGAGAAGACCCUAUAGAGUUUUAUAUAAAUUUUAUUUAAAAUUUUAUAUUUAAUUUAUAAAUUUAAUUAGAUUUUAUAUUUUAUUGGGGUGAUAGAAAAAUUAAAUUAACUUUUUUUGAAUAAUAAAUAUUAAUAAAUAAAUAAAUGAUCCAUAUAUAAUGAUUAUAAGAAAAAAUUACCUUAGGGAUAACAGCGUAAUGUUAUUUUUUAGUUCAAAUAAAAAAUAGAGUUUGCGACCUCGAUGUUGGAUUAAGAUAAAAUUUAAAUGCAAAAGUUUAAAAUUUUGAUCUGUUCGAUCAUUAAAAUCUU
rnacentral:rRNA from 1 species